UAACUCUCAUAUGGAAUCUCUAUACGGCUUCGGUCCAAAGGAAUAUCCUAAUCCUGAAGAAGUAACGAGCAAUUUGGUAAAAUAAAUUUGUCGUAAUCUUUUACGGUUGCGAAGGAGUAGUGGCCACAAGAAAAACAGUGUUUGGGGAGAUAACUCUUACAACGUAAAGUAUUUUGUUACGCAGUUGUAAAAUUUUAAAGCGUAUAAACUAUACACAUCAUAUUCCAAAUAUCUAAGCGAC
rnacentral:lncRNA from 1 species